rnacentral:rRNA from 1 species
AUGAAAGCUAUAGCGUGGAAUUGCCGAGGCAUGGGCCGGAGCCUCAGCAAUGAUCGUAUGCUAUUUCUGGCUAAUCUGAUCCAUUCUACUAAAGCGCAGGUAACUUUUGUUUCUGAAAUAAAAUCUUCUAAAGUGCGAUCAAUUGAUCUGGUUAAUAGAUUUGAUGUUGCCAACAGUUUUGUUGUUCCUUCGAAAGGGGCCUCUAGAGGGCUCUGGCUAAUGUGGAAUGAUGAUCUUAAAGUCACUAUUCAUGCUGCUUCCUUCCACUAUAUAUUAGCUAUUGUACUUCAUGUAACCACUGGUGUCCAAUUUUGUUUGGUCUGUAUAUAUGGUAAUCCCUAUCAUAGACAAACUACUGCCAUUUGGAGUGAGAUUUCAACUUUUGUGUAUGAUAAUCUGGGUCUGCCCAUGAUGUGUAUGGGAGACCUUAAUGACAUCUUGUACGAUACGGAUGGUUGUAACGGCAAUGUUAACUAUUAUCGUAUGAAUGUUUUCCGCUCUCUUGUUAAAAAUUGUGGAUUCUAUGAUAUAGGUUUUAGUGGUCCUGCGUAUACUUGGCGUAGUAAACAACACACUUCGAAACCUAUUUAUAGACGCCUUGAUCGCUGCUUGGUUAAUUCUGAAUGGUGCAUGCAUUAUCCUAAUACUAAAGUCCUCAACUUGCCUAUUAUUCUUAGUGAUCAUGCCCCCAUUCUAGUGUCUACUGAAGGUACUUUUGUUAAACCUAAGCAAACAUUUAAGUUUGAAAAUUGGUGGCUGCUGGAGAAAGAUUUCGCUAGUUUUGCUAAAUCUGCAUGGAAUAAUUGCUCAGUUCACUCCUUGGCAGCCAAAACCUCUUAUUUGGCAGGUUCCUUAAAGAUGUGGUGCAAGAAAAAAAGCCUCUCCAGCAGGAUCUUCUUGACCUAG